rnacentral:misc_RNA from 1 species
UUAAGUUCAGCGGGUAUCCCUACCUGAUCCGAGGUCAAAGUAAAAAUAGGCUUAAUGGAUGGAGGUCUGUUAGAAGCGUGACACAAUGUGCUGCGCACGGAGCCAACAUACCGGCUGCCAAUGAAUUUAAGGCGAGUCCACGCACCAAGGCGGAACAAACACCCAACACCAAGCAGAGCUUGAAGGUUUAAAUGACGCUC